rnacentral:lncRNA from 1 species
GGUUGGAACCAGCCCUGGGCAGGAUGUCAUCCCAUUGCAGGGGGCACCUAUACCCACCCACGCUUACACUCCCUCACACUGGUGAGAGGUGAAGCCGGCUGGGCUUCUGGGUCGGGUGGGGACUUGGAGAGCUUUUCGGUCUAGCUAAAGGAUUGUAAACACACCAAUCAGCACUCUGUGUCUAGCUAAAGGUUUGUAAACAGCACCAAUUAGCACUCUGUAAAAACGCACCAAUCAGCGCUCUGUGUCUAGCUAAAGGUUUGUAAAGACACCAGUCAGCCCUCAGUAAAAAUGGACCAAUCAGCACUCUGUAAAAUGGACAAAUCAGCGCUCUGUAAAAUGGACAACUCAGCAGGAUGUGGGCGGGGCCAAAUAAGGAAAUAAAAGGUGGACACCCCGGCUAGCAGCAGCAACUUGCUUUGGGUCCGUUUCCACGCUUUGGUCUUUCUCUCUUGGCAGUAAAUCUUGCUGCUCCUCACUUUUUGGGUUAGUACUACGUUUAUGAGCUGUCACACUCACCGGGAAGGUCUACAGCUUCACUCCUGAAGCCAGUGAGACCGUUAACCCACCAGGAGGAACGGGCAACUCAGACCGCGCCACCUUUAAGAGCUGUAACACUCACCGCGAAGGUCUGCGGCUUCACUCCAGAAGUCAGCGAGACCACGAAUCCUGCGGGAGGAACGAACUCCGACCGCGCCACCUUUAAGAGCUGUAACACUCACUGCGAAGGUCUGUGGCUUCACUCUUGAAGUCAGCAAGACCACGAACCCACCAGAAGGAAGAAACUCCGGACACAUCUGAACAUCUGAAGGAACUCGGGACACGCCAUCUUUAAGAACUGUUAACACUCACUGCGGGGGUCUGCGGCUUCAUUCCUGACGUCAGCGAGACCAAGAACCCACCGGAAGGAACCAGUUCCAGACAUACUGGGACCGUGUGGAUACGUCGGUAAACCUGACAUGCACAUCUUUAGGAGAUAGCUGGAGAAAACCCAUGCAGAUUGUGGGUUUAUCCCCAGCUGGGGAUAGAUUUUUUUUCCCCAUCAAUAUUGUAAAGAAAACUGAAUGAAUUAGUUAUUCAAGAACCAGCUGUACCUCUUACAUAGGGUUGUCCCGAGGGCUAUGAGAGAUCAUGUUUGUAAAGUGCCCAAGAAGCAGUGGCUACUAUUAUUACUAACUUGCUUUUUCUGUGCAGUAACUUUAUAAGAUAAAUUUUGCCACAGUUUUAUAGAUGAAGAGACUGAGGCAAAUGGAGGUCCCUUAAUUUACCAGAAGUCUUCUACCUUAAGAAAGACAAGACUCGGAUUCUAAUUUAAGUCAUUUUGAUACAUUCUACUCUCCCCACCACAGCAUAUUAAAUGUAAUGCACACUCAAAAAUACUGGGUUUUUUUUUUGUUUUUUUUUUUUGAGACAGAGUUUCGCACUUUUUGCCCAGGCUGGAGUGCAAUGGCGCGACCUUGGCUCCACCUCUUGGGUUCAAAUGAUUCUCCUGCCUCAGCCUUCUGAGUAGCUGGGAUUACAGGCAUGCAUCAGCACGCCUGGCUAAUUUUGUAUUUUUAGUAGAGAUGGGGUUUCUCCAUGUUGCUCAGGCUGGUCUCGAACUCCUGACUUCAGGUGAUCCUCCCACCUAGGCCUCCCAGAGUGUUGGGAUUAUAGGUGUGAGCCACUGCGCCUGGCCUGGAUUUCUCUAUUUGUUUAUGCGAAAUCGUCUACUGGCAUUACCAUCUCUCAAAACAUUUUCCUGGACUUUUAACUAAAGAUUUUUUCCAUUGUAAUGGGCACAAGUGCAAUUUCCCUUUCAUUUUAAGAGACUGUGAGAAGUAACAAAUCAGGUGAUGGUCUUGUUUUCCCAAGCUGCUACAGAGCUUCUGCAGCUCCAAGCAUGACCACUAUAUUUGGCUGCUUAAAAGCAUAACAAGGGCAGAAAUCAUAAAGGCUUUGCCCAGAGGGCCUUGAUUGUCCUUGCCUUCUUGUCCUUUGGUGAGAACUUCAUUGGUGGUGGCUCCAAAAAUCAGGAGACUUUCUGUGAUGAAUUCACCAUAAGAACGUGGGACCCAGCCUCCCUUGAAGGACGGAAGAAGUAAAGUCAAGAAACAAGAUAUCCUCAAGCUACUCUUAGGAUCAGUGUCUGCAUAGAUCUGGCACACAGAAAUGCAAGGAAACAAUUUGUGCAAAGCAUUAAAAAAAAAAGGGGGGACCCUGAGAGUAUAACAAGUGCUCCUGAGAGAGGACAGACGGAGAGGACGCAUGGGCAGGGAUGGCCGCCCUGAGCAGCUGAUGUUCGAGCUAAGAUCUGAAAGGUGCAUGAUUUCCCACUUACCUCCCGCAACCACUACCACCCACGUUGUCCACAGUAUUCAGCUGUCUCAGGGAGGAUCACAAUUAUUCUAAUGGGACUGCAAAGAGUGAAGGACACAGCUUUUAACAUCAGAUUCGAAUCCUACAAUUUGGAACCCAUGGGCACUUCUAGAUUGGAUCUUGCAGAGAUUUUUUACAACAGAAAUAAUGGAAAGGCAAAAGAAAACAUUGAGUAAUAACCAACCCAAGCAAGUCCAGCCUCUUUCUGCAGAAGCAGAUAAUCAGGAUGACUCCACCUUUGUACCUGACUGAGGAACUUAGUGAACCCUGAAGAAAUGAUGAUUAAAGAGACAAUGAAGAGGCCAGGCGCAGUGGCUCAUGCCUGUAAUCCCAGCACUUUGGGAGGCCGAGGUAGGCGGAUCAUGAGGUCAGGAAAUCGAGACCAUCCUGGCUAACAUGGUGAAACUCUAUCUCUACUAAAAAUACAAAAAAUAAGCUGGGUGUGGUGGCACGUGCCUGUAAUCCCAGCUACUCAGGAAGCUGAGACAGGAGAAUCGCUUGAACCCAGGAGGUGGAGGUUGCAGUGAGCCGAAGUCGUGCCGUUGCACUCCAGUCCGGGUGACAGAGUGAGACUCUGUCUCAAAAAAAAAAAAAAAAAAAAAGGACAAUGAAGACAGGAGACAUUGGGCUGUGCCCUUCUAGAUAUGACAGGGAGCAAAUAAGCCAACUCCAGGUCAGUAUAAAAUCCUAGGUGAUCAUUAAAAUCACUUAAAUAAGCCAACUCCAGGUCAGCAUAAAAUCCUAGGCGAUCAUUAAAAUCACUUAAAAUUAAAAUCCUAGGUGAUCAUUAAAACCACUUCAAAAAGACAUGUUUUGGGAGCUAUGUGUUCAGGGAAACAGAGGAGAAAACAACUGGGACUCUAUGAGGUGCCAGGUUUGAAGCUGUAUGGAUGUGACUGAUGUCAGGUUUUCAUGAGCCCAGUGGAAAAUUUAGAGGCAGUAAACUGGGCAACUGGGGCUGUUGGUGCUUGAGUAAUGCUUGGGCAUCAAGAUCUCCAAACUGUGUGGCCGCACCUGUGGUCCUAGCUACUCAGGAGGCUGAGGUGGGAGGAUAGUUGGAGCCUGGGAGAUUGAGGCUGCAGUGAGCUGUGAUGGUGCCACUGUACUCUAGCCUGGGUGACAGAGCGAGACUUGUCUCAAAAAAAAAAAAAUCUCCAAACUGGACUCUCUCUCACUAGGGAUUUGUCUCUUUCUCCUCUCCUUCUCUUCCUUCCUAAUUAUCUCCUUUUCUUUAUUCACAAUAUAUAUAUCCUCAACUAUGGAUAAGUGUGCUUAUACUCAGCUAUAUUUUCUUUUUUUCCAGCUAUAUUGAUGUAUAAUUGACAAAUAAAAAUUAGAUAUUGUUAAGGUGUACAACAUAGUGCUUGACAGAUAUAUACAUUGUGAAAUAAUUACCACAACCAAGCAAGCUAGUUAACAUAUCCAUCACCUCAUGUAGUUACUUUUUUGGGUUUUUUUUUUUUUGGUGUGGUGAGAACACUGAAAAUCAACUCUCUUAGCAAAUUUUGAGUAUUCAAUGAAGUAUACUUGAAUAACACUGUAUACAAAUUCAAGUAUAAAUUCAAGUAUACAAUGCUAUUAGCUAUAGUCAUCCUGCUAUAUAUUAGUUCUCCAGAACCUACUCAUCAUAUAAGUUAACGUUUGUACCCUUUGCCCAAGACCGCCCCACUUCCUCCUCCCACCAGCUGCUGGUAACAACCAUUCUACUCUCUGUUUCUAUGAGUUUGACUUUUUUAGGUUUUGCAUAGAAGUGACAUCAUGCAGUAUUUAUCUUUCUGUGUCUGGCUUGUUUCAUUUAGCAUAACGUCUUGCAGGUUCAUUCAUGUUGUCGCAAAUGGCAGGAUUUCCUUAUUUUUAAAGGCUGAAUAUUCCAUUGUGUGUGAAAAUAUAUGAUAUCAACUGUAUUUUCAUAUAUGUGUCUAACUGGAUGGCCUCUUAAUAAACUUUAAAGGAUUAAAGAUUGUCAUUAGAGAAUUCUAAAUAAGGUGGUUUUAGGUUCAUAUUAUACAAUACAUGUAAUGUGCAUGCAUUAUGUCGACUCUUAUUAAAUUCUAAGUCCUACUCAAUAGUGUUGAGAGCAUUAAUGCACCCAAGAAUUUUGUUUUUUUAUUUAACUUAGUGAGAAAAUAUAACUUAAUAUAUAGCAAUUCACUUAGAUUGAUAUAGAAGUAAUUAACACCACAUUCUUAUUAAUAGAUUUCU